UACGUUAAAACACCGAGUCCCAUACGAUCACCGAAGUUAAGAAACGUCGAGCCUAGUUAGUACUUAGAUGGUUGUCCG